ensembl:snoRNA U3 Small nucleolar RNA U3
AAGACUAUAUUUUCAGGGAUCAUUUCUAUAGUUCUUUACUUGGAAAUGUGUUUGAGAGUGUUUGUCUCCCAACCCCAUGAUGAUAGGCUGUGACUACUCCUUUCUGAGAGUGAAUUGAGGACAGAACUCUGGCUUUGUUCACAAGCUCUGUUGUUGAUGAGCGUUCAUAUUGUUUUGGCAAUGUUGAAGAAAGGGUAUGAUCUGAGUGGU